CGUUCCCGGGCCUCGUACACACCGCCCGUCACACCACGAGAGUUUGUAACACCCGAAGUCGGUGGGGUAACCUUUUGGAGCCAGCCGCCUAAGGUGGGACAGAUGAUUGGGGUG
rnacentral:rRNA from 1 species